GAUGAACGCUGGCGGCGUGCCUAAUACAUGCAAGUCGAGCGAACGGACGAGAAGCUUGCUUCUCUCAUGUUAGCGGCGGACGGGUGAGUAACGCGUGGAUAACCUACCUAUAAGACUGGGAUAACUUCGGGAAACCGGCGCUUAUACCUGAUAAUAUUUUGAACCGCAUGGUUCAAAAGUGAAAGACGGUCUUGCGGUCACUUAUAGAUGGAUCCGCGCUGCAUUAGCUAGUUGGUAAGGUAAAGGCUUACCAAGGCAACGAUGCAUAGCCGACGGGAGAGGGGGAUCGGCCACCCUGGAAGGGGGCCAGCCUCCAGACGACUGCGGGAGGGAGCAGUAGGGAAUCGUCCGCAAUGGUCGAAAGCCUGACGGAGCACCGCGGAGUGCGUGAUGAAGCUGUCCGGAUCGUAAAACUCUCUUAUUAGUGAAGAACAUAUGUGUACGUAACUGUGCACAUCUUGACGGUACCUAGUCAGAAAGCCACGGCUAACUACGUG
rnacentral:rRNA from 1 species